UGAGGAAUAUUGCGCAAUGGAGGAAACUCUGACGCAGCAACGCCGCGUGAGUGAAGAAGGCUUUCGGGUUGUAAAGCUCUGUCAGGUGGGAAGAAACCUUUAUAGUUGAAUAGACUAUAAAACUGACGGUACCACCAAAGGAAGCACCGGCUAACUCCGUGCCAGCAGCCGCGGUAAGCCGGAGGGUGCAAGCGUUGUUCGGAAUCACUGGGCGUAAAGCGCGUGUAGGCGGCUUGACAAGUCGAAUGUGAAAGCCCGGGGCUCAACCCCGGAAGGGCAUUCGAAACUGUCAGGCUUGAGUACGGUAGAGGGAAGUGGAAUUCCUGGUGUAGAGGUGAAAUUCGUAGAUAUCAGGAGGAACACCGGUGGCGAAGGCGGCUUCCUGGACCGAUACUGACGCUGAGACGCGAAAGCGUGGGGAGCAAACA
rnacentral:rRNA from 1 species